UCCAUUUCUUUCUUAUACGCUAAUUCACUAUUAAAUAGAAAUGUAUAUGCAAAACAGCGAGAAAUUUGUAGAUACGUUGAAUGUUGUUGCUUUCACAUUUGCAACUCUUAGUAGUUGUUCAAAACAACAAUGUCGAGCAAAGAUGUUUGCGAUGUUUGAAUGAUUCUUGGAUUGUAUUUGGAUUCCAUCGGUACUAUGGCCUGUUGAUUCGGCACCUUUGUCAUUUUAGCAACUUUUGUUUUCUUUUCUGUGUCGAUGUAGUUCUCUAUACCAUAUUCAUGUUCAUAUCAAUGUCCAUAUCAAGGUCCAUAUCAAUGUCCAUAUCAAUUUCCCAUGUUCCAUUACAUAUCCCGUGUUCUUUCCUUCUUCCAGCUUUUACAUGCUAGCCUUUUAUACAAUGAUUCCUCUCAUCUCGACUCGUUUGAUGAAUGGGCGUUUAGUUUUUGCAACAACAUAUGCGUUGGGUUAUCUCAUAUCGGGAAACACUUUCUGCCACUUUUAACUUGAACAAAGUUGGAGAAAUAAAGUGAUGGCAGAUAUUGCAAGUUGUUUAUAGUGUGCCUGUAGAAAUGUAAAAACGCUAUGUUUCGUGAAUGCCCAGCCUGUAAAUCGAAAUAAGAUUUCGUAUUUAUUAAGCAUUGGAAGAUCACAAUUGUGACUUUGUGGGUUUCGUAAAGAACAUCAUAUAGAUUNCUUUGACCAAGUGUAAUAAAGCAAAAACACCGGACAUAGUAUGGAUAUGGACACAGCAUGGGUAUGGGACCCAAGCAACNCUACCA
rnacentral:sRNA from 1 species